rnacentral:rRNA from 1 species
UGGGGAAUAUUGCACAAUGGGCGCAAGCCUGAUGCAGCCAUGCCGCGUGUAUGAAGAAGGCCUUCGGGUUGUAAAGUACUUUCAGCGGGGAGGAAGGGAGUAAAGUUAAUACCUUUGCUCAUUGACGUUACCCGCAGAAGAAGCACCGGCUAACUCCGUGCCAGCAGCCGCGGUAAUACGGAGGGUGCAAGCGUUAAUCGGAAUUACUGGGCGUAAAGCGCACGCAGGCGGUCUGUCAAGUCGGAUGUGAAAUCCCCGGGCUCAACCUGGGAACUGCAUUCGAAACUGGCAGGCUGGAGUCUUGUAGAGGGGGGUAGAAUUCCAGGUGUAGCGGUGAAAUGCGUAGAGAUCUGGAGGAAUACCGGUGGCGAAGGCGGCCCCCUGGACAAAGACUGACGCUCAGGUGCGAAAGCGUGGGGAGCAAACAGG